rnacentral:rRNA from 1 species
ACGGAGUAGUGUUCAACACCGAGUACUAACUAAAGUGUUGACCGACAGCGCAUAUGAGCGAACGAAGAGAGCUCAUUACGCAAAUAAAAGUGCCAACACCAAUGACGUAGAACUGGGUGUUGAACAUUACUUAGUGGCGAACGGGUGAGUAACGCGUAGACAACCUGCCUUCUAGAUGGGGACAACACUGCGAAAGUGGUGCUAAUACCGAAUGUUGUAUUGAGCCUGCAUGGGCUCGAUACUAAAGGUGGCCUCUAUUUAUAAGCUAUCACUAGAAGAUGGGUCUGCGUCUGAUUAGCUAGUUGGUGAGGUAAUGGCUCACCAAGGCGAUGAUCAGUAGCCGGUCUGAGAGGAUGAACGGCCACACUGGGACUGAGACACGGCCCAGACUCCUACGGGAGGCAGCAGUGGGGAAUCUUCCGCAAUGGACGAAAGUCUGACGGAGCAACGCCGCGUGAGUGAAGAAGGUUUUCGGAUCGUAAAGCUCUGUCUUUGAGGACGAAUGUGUCUAAUGUGAAUAAUGUUAGAUAAUGACGGUACUCGAGGAGGAAGCCACGGCUAACUACGUGCCAGCAGCCGCGGUAAUACGUAGGUGGCAAGCGUUGUCCGGAAUUAUUGGGCGUAAAGCGCGCGCAGGCGGGAUAUUAAGUCUGUU